UAACCUGCCCAAGAGAUCGGGAUAACACCUGGAAACAGAUGCUAAUACCGGAUAACAACAGAUGAUGCCUAUCAACUGUUUAAAAGAUGGUUCUGCUAUCACUCUUGGAUGGACCUGCGGUGCAUUAGCUAGUUGGUAGGGUAACGGCCUACCAAGGCGAUGAUGCAUAGCCGAGUUGAGAGACUGAUCGGCCACAUUGGGAAUGAGACACGGCCCAAACUCCUACGGGAGGCAGCAGUU
rnacentral:rRNA from 1 species